GCGCGAAGCGCGAUAAGGGAACCCUGAGUGCCAGCACACAGUGUUGGCUGUCCAACUGUUCAAAAAACAGAUGAUAGCAAGGGCCGGGCAAGACCGGUGCCAGCCGCCGCGGUAACACCGGCGGCCCGAGUGGUAACCGUUUUUAUUGGGCUUAAAGCGUUCGUAGCCGGUUUAAUAAGUCUUUUAGGAAAUCUGGCAGCUUAACUGUCAGGCGUCUAAGAGAUACUGUUAAACUUGGGACCGGGAGAGGUAGGAGGUACUCCAUGGGUAGGGGUGAAAUCUUGUAAUCCUUGGAGGACCAUCGAUGGCGAAGGCAUCCUACCAGAACGGGUCCGACGGUGAGGGACGAAAGCUGGGGGCACAAACCGGAUUAGAUACCCGGGUAGUCCCAGCUGUAAACGAUGCUCGCUAGGUGUCGGGUACGGUGCGUCCGUAUUCNGUGCCNUANGGAAACCNCNAANCNAGCCNCCUGGGAAGUACNGUCGCAAGGCUNAAACUUAAAGGAAUUGGCGGGGGAGCACUNCAACNGGUGGAGCCUGCGGUUUAAUUGGAUUUCCAACGCCCGAAA
rnacentral:rRNA from 1 species